CAGCCGCCGCGGGAAUACGGAGGGGGCUAGCGUUGUUCGGAAUUACUGGGCGUAAAGCGCACGUAGGCGGCUUGGUAAGUUAGAGGUGAAAGCCUGGAGCUCAACUCCAGAAUUGCCUUUAAGACUGCCGAGCUAGCAGGUGAGAGAGGUAAGUGGAAUUCCGAGUGUAGAGGUGAAAUUCGUAGAUAUUCGGAAGAACACCAGUGGCGAAGGCGGCUUACUGGCUCAUACUGGACGCUGAGGUGCGAAAGCGUGGGGAGCAAACAGGAUUAGAUACCCGGGUAGUCCCUGUCUCUUAUAU
rnacentral:rRNA from 1 species